CUGGUUGAUCCUGCCAGUACGUACAUGCUCUUCUGAAAGAUUAAGCCAUGCAUGUGCCAGUUCAUACAUUUACAAAGUGAGACUGCGGAAGGCUCAGUAAAUCAGUUAUAAUCUAUUCGAAAUUAAUCCCAUUGGAURACCGUGGGAAAUCUAGAGCUAAUACAUGCACUAAUGACGGGUAGGGUGAAAACCUUAUCUGUUAGCAUUUAUUGGACAAAACCAAAUGCUACUUAGUCCACUGGGUUAAGUAGUAGGGUGAAUCUAGAUAACUUUGCUGAUCGCAUGGCGUAAGCCGGCGACAUUUCGAUUGAAUUUCUGCCCUAUCAACUAGUUGGUAAGGYAGUGGCUUACCAAGGUUACAACGGGUAACGGGGGAUCAGGGUUCGAUUCCGGAGAGGGAGCCUGAGAAACGGCUACCACAUCCAAGGAAGGCAGCAGGCGCGUAAAUUACCCAAUCCAGACAAUGGGAGGUGGUGACCAGAAGUACUGGGUGGUAAUCAUUGAUUACUAAUCCCGGAAUGAGCAUAAAGUAAAAAUUUAGUCGAGUAACAACUGGAGGGCAAGUCUGGUGCCAGCAGCCGCGGUAAUUCCAGCUCCAGUAGCAUGUCGUAAAGUUGUUGCGUUUAAAACGCUCGUAGUUGGAUCAUACGGUAUCUUUUAGUUUAUUAGCAUGAUGUGACAUUGAAUCCAACGUUGUUAAAUUACAUUGGUUAAUUCCUUUGUAAUUGGCAGUGCGUGGAGUCUAUUGUGUAUAAUUUUGGCUAAUUGAUACUACUUACAUAUGAGAAUAAUGGUUGGCCUUUAGUGUGUCGGCCAUUGUGUCUCAUGGAGUGUGCCUUGAAUAAAUCAAAGUGCUUAAAGCAGGCAACAGCCUGAAUGAUACAGCAUGGAACGAACAAACGUGUAGAGUAUAUUGUUGAUUAAAUUAGUAUCAAAGGUAUUAAUUAAUUGGCAGUAUACAUCACCAACCGCCAUGUACGGAUGUUGGUUUCCGUAUUUGGGUGAGGAUUAAAACGAGCGGAUGGGGGCAUUGGUAUUUGGCCGCGAGAGGUGAAAUUCUUAGACCGGCCAAGGACUAACAAAAGCGAAGGCAUUUGCCAAGUCCGUGUCGAUUAAUCAAGAACGAUAGAGAAAGGUUCGAAGACGAUCAGAUACCGUCCUAGUUUUCUCUGUAAACUAUGCCAACCCGAGAUCAGUCUAGAGUUAAUAAUUACGCUCUAGGUUGGUCCCCCUGGGAAACCUAAAGUGUUUGGGUUACGGGGGGAGUAUGGUCGCAAGGCUGAAACUUAAAGGAAUUGACGGAAGGGCACCACCAGGGGUGGAGCCUGCGGCUUAAUUUGACUCAACACGGGAAAACUCACCGGUUCCGGACGUCAAAAGGAUAGACAGACUGAUAGAUCUUUCUUGAUAUGAUGUGUGGUGGUGCAUGGCCGUUCUUAGUUCGUGAAGUGAUUUGUCGGGUCGAUUCCGGUAACGGACGAGACGUUGAUCUUCAUUUACGGUACGUGAUAGUUUGCUGACGGUCGCAAGGCUGUAAGUAGACUCUAGUGAUGAUCUCGGUCAGCAUCCUUGUUGGCUGUGUGUUAUUACUUUGCUCACGUAAUGACGUAUACAGCAAUGUAUGCGUCUGCAUGAAGAGACAACUGGCGAAAGUCAGAGGAGGUUACGCAAUAACAGGUCUGUGAUGCCCUUAGACGUACCGGGCUGCACGCGCGCUACAAUGAUGACAACAACGAGUUAUCUGUUCCGAAAGGAAUGAAAAAUCUUUUAAUUGUCAUCGUGAUGGGGMUUGUUCAUUGUAAAUUGGACAUGAAAUAGGAAUCCCUUGUACGUGCACUUCACUUAGAGUGCGCGGAAUGAGUCCCUGCCCUUUGUACACACCGCCCGUCGCUACUACCGAGUGAAUGGUGUCAUGAUGCGUUGGGACCGGACGUCGUUCAGUUUCGGCUGAGUGAUGCUGGGAUCAAUGUAAAAUGGUGCAAUUUCGAGGAAGUAAAAGUCGUAACAAGGUUUCCGUAGA
rnacentral:rRNA from 1 species